AAAUUGAAGAGUUUGAUCAUGGCUCAGAUUGAACGCUGGCGGCAGGCCUAACACAUGCAAGUCGAACGGUAACAGGAAGCAGCUUGCUGCUUCGCUGACGAGUGGCGGACGGGUGAGUAAUGUCUGGGAAACUGCCUGAUGGAGGGGGAUAACUACUGGAAACGGUGGCUAAUACCGCAUAACGUCGCAAGACCAAAGAGGGGGACCUUCGGGCCUCUUGCCAUCAGAUGUGCCCAGAUGGGAUUAGCUUGUUGGUGAGGUAACGGCUCACCAAGGC
rnacentral:rRNA from 17 species